rnacentral:rRNA from 1 species
AGAGUUUGAUCAUGGCUCAGAUUGAACGCUGGCGGCAGGCCUAACACAUGCAAGUCGAACGGUAACAGGAAGAAGCUUGCUUCUUUGCUGACGAGUGGCGGACGGGGGAGUAAUGUCUGGGAAACUGCCUGAUGGAGGGGGAUAACUACUGGAAACGGUAGCUAAUACCGCAUAACGUCGCAAGACCAAAGAGGGGGACCUUCGGGCCUCUUGCCAUCGGAUGUGCCCAGAUGGGAUUAGCUAGUUGGUGGGGUAACGGCUCACCAAGGCGACGAUCCCUAGCUGGUCUGAGAGGAUGACCAGCCACACUGGAACUGAGACACGGUCCAGACUCCUACGGGAGGCAGCAGUGGGGAAUAUUGCACAAUGGGCGCAAGCCUGAUGCAGCCAUGCCGCGUGUAUGAAGAAGGCCUUCGGGUUGUAAAGUACUUUCAGCGGGGAGGAAGGGAGUAAAGUUAAUACCUUUGCUCAUUGACGUUACCCGCAGAAGAAGCACCGGCUAACUCCGUGCCAGCAGCCGCGGUAAUACGGAGGGUGCAAGCGUUAAUCGGAAUUACUGGGCGUAAAGCGCACGCAGGCGGUUUGUUAAGUCAGAUGUGAAAUCCCCGGGCUCAACCUGGGAACUGCAUCUGAUACUGGCAAGCUUGAGUCUCGUAGAGGGGGGUAGAAUUCCAGGUGUAGCGGUGAAAUGCGUAGAGAUCUGGAGGAAUACCGGUGGCGAAGGCGGCCCCCUGGACGAAGACUGACGCUCAGGUGCGAAAGCGUGGGGAGCAAACAGGAUUAGAUACCCUGGUAGUCCACGCCGUAAACGAUGUCGACUUGGAGGUUGUGCCCUUGAGGCGUGGCUUCCGGAGCUAACGCGUUAAGUCGACCGCCUGGGGAGUACGGCCGCAAGGUUAAAACUCAAAUGAAUUGACGGGGGCCCGCACAAGCGGUGGAGCAUGUGGUUUAAUUCGAUGCAACGCGAAGAACCUUACCUGGUCUUGACAUCCACGGAAGUUUUCAGAGAUGAGAAUGUGCCUUCGGGAACCGUGAGACAGGUGCUGCAUGGCUGUCGUCAGCUCGUGUUGUGAAAUGUUGGGUUAAGUCCCGCAACGAGCGCAACCCUUAUCCUUUGUUGCCAGCGGUCCGGCCGGGAACUCAAAGGAGACUGCCAGUGAUAAACUGGAGGAAGGUGGGGAUGACGUCAAGUCAUCAUGGCCCUUACGACCAGGGCUACACACGUGCUACAAUGGCGCAUACAAAGAGAAGCGACCUCGCGAGAGCAAGCGGACCUCAUAAAGUGCGUCGUAGUCCGGAUUGGAGUCUGCAACUCGACUCCAUGAAGUCGGAAUCGCUAGUAAUCGUGGAUCAGAAUGCCACGGUGAAUACGUUCCCGGGCCUUGUACACACCGCCCGUCACACCAUGGGAGUGGGUUGCAAAAGAAGUAGGUAGCUUAACCUUCGGGAGGGCGCUUACCACUUUGUGAUUCAUGACUGGGGUGAAGUCGUAACAAGGUAACCGUAGGGGAACCUGCGGUUGGAUCACCU